UGAUAUUACUUAGACUGCAGGCUCGAACAC
rnacentral:piRNA from 1 species